UACGUAGGUAGCGAGCGUUGUCCGGAUUUACUGGGCGUAAAGGGAGCGUAGGCGGACUUUUAAGUGAGAUGUGAAAUACUCGGGCUCAACUUGAGUGCUGCAUUUCAAACUGGAAGUCUAGAGUGCAGGAGAGGAGAAUGGAAUUCCUAGUGUAGCGGUGAAAUGCGUAGAGAUUAGGAAGAACACCAGUGGCGAAGGCGAUUCUCUGGACUGUAACUGACGCUGAGGCUCGAAAGCGUGGGGAGCAAACAGG
rnacentral:rRNA from 1 species